CCGCCCCCACGGCCGCCUACGGACAGCACGGACGGCGGUGGCAGCGCCGAGACCCCCAGAGCCCCCCCUGGCCGCCCUCGCCCGGCUCGGGGUGACCCCAAAAAAUCCCCAAAAAUCCCCAAAAAAUCCCCAAAAAAUCCCAAAAAAUCCCCAAAAAUCCCCC